rnacentral:tRNA from 1 species
GAAUAAGAAGCAAUUAUUUGCAUUUAAUUUCGACUUAAAAGAUAGAGUUCAUAAACUACUCCUUAUUUA